ensembl:snoRNA
AGCACUUGUGUGUGUUUUUGUUUAACUUUGGACAAAGACUUGUAGGCAAGCGAAAAAAGUAAAUCCUCUUUUGCAACCCAGAGCUCAUUGUUCAGUAUGAGUUUUGAUACAUGUAAGCAGGAAUACU